rnacentral:rRNA from 1 species
UGGAGGAAAGCAGGGGAUCGUAAGACCUUGCGCUUUUGGAGUGGCCGAUGCCUGAUUAGCUAGUUGGUGGGGUAAGGGCCUACCAAGGCAACGAUCAGUAGUUGGUCUGAGAGGACGACCAGCCACACUGGGACUGAGACACGGCCCAGACUCCUACGGGAGGCAGCAGUGGGGAAUUUUGGACAAUGGGCGAAAGCCUGAUCCAGCAAUGCCGCGUGAGUGAAGAAGGCCUUCGGGUUGUAAAGCUCUUUCAGUCGAGAAGAAAAGGUUGUGACUAAUAAUCACAACUUAUGAUGGUACCGACAGAAGAAGCACCGGCUAACUACGUGCCAGCAGCCGCGGUAAUACGUAGGGUGCGAGCGUUAAUCGGAAUUACUGGGCGUAAAGGGUGCGCAGGCGGCUUUGUAAGUCAGAUGUGA